rnacentral:sRNA from 1 species
CUCGCGCCAGCGAUAGAAGCGGAAAUCCUUUCCGGGAAUCGGUAUAUUUUGAAUAAGGAACAGAUUUUGGAAAGAUUGGAGCGGAUAGCGCGGUCGUUA